CUAACACAUGCAAGUCGAACGAGAAGCCUGAUUUCGAUUAGGUGGAGAGUGGCGCACGGGUGAGUAACACAUGGCUGACCUGCCCUUCAGAGGGGGACAACCGAGCGGAAACGGUGGCUAAUACCCCAUACGCUCGCCGUGAUUAGCAGGCGGUGAGGAAACCUUCGGGGCUGAGGGAGGGGGCUGUGGCCCAUCAGCUAGUUGGUAGGGUAACGGCCUACCAAGGCAAAGACGGGUAGGGGGCCUGAGAGGGUGACCCCCCACACGGGCACUGAGACACGGGCCCGACUUCUACGGAAGGCAGCAGUGAGGGAUAUUGCCCAAUGGACGGAAGUCUGAGGCAGCAACGCCGCGUGCGGGAUGAAGGCCUUCGGGUUGUAAACCGCUUUUCUGCGCGAAGAGGAAGGACGGUAGCGCAGGAAGAAGUCUCGGCUAACUACGUGCCAGCAGCCGCGGUAAAACGUAGGAGGCGAGCGUUAUCCGGAUUUACUGGGUGUAAAGCGCGUGCAGGCGGUCAUGUAAGUGGUGCGUGAAAGCGCCCGGCUCAACCGGGCGAGGCCGUGCCAAACUGCGUGACUGGAGGCAGGUAGAGGCGCGUGGAAUUCCGGGUGUAGUGGUGAAAUGCGUAGAUAUCCGGAGGAACACCAGUGGCGACGGCGGCGCGCUGGGCCUGACCUGACGCUAAGACGCGAAAGCAUGGGGAGCGAACGGGAUUAGAAACCCCGGUAGUCCAUGCUGUAAACGCUGCAGACUAGGUGUUGCGUGCGACGAGUAUGCCAGUGCCGAAGCCAACGUGAUAAGUCUGCCACCUGGGGACUACGGCCGCAAGGUUAAAACUCAAAGGAAUUGACGGGGGCCCGCACAAGCAGCGAGGUUGUUAAUUGAGGCUACACGAAGACUUACCUUGGGCUUGACAUG
rnacentral:rRNA from 1 species